CCCUUAGAUGUUCUGGGCGGCCCGCGCACUACAAUGGCGUGUGCAGCGAGUGCCGAAGUAGAGUUUUCCGAGGUAUUCUUGCAAUGCUCGUUUUGAUGGGGAUAGACCCUUGCAACUGUUGGUUUUGAACGAGGAAUUCCUUGUAAGCAUGGUUUAUCAUCCGACGCUGAAUGCGUCCCUGCCCUUUGUACACACCGCCCGUCGCUCCUACCGAUGAGUCGUCCGGUGAAGUUCGUAGACCUCGUGAUUGCGGAUCACUGGGGGAAGCAAAAUGAACCUCGCGGUUUAGAGGAAGGAGAAGGCGUAACA
rnacentral:rRNA from 1 species